rnacentral:rRNA from 1 species
ACGUAGGGUCCGAGCGUUGUCCGGAGUUACUGGGCGUAAAGCGCGCGCAGGCGGCCGUUCAAGUCUGGCGUGAAAGCCCCCGGCUCAACCGGGGAGGGUCGUCGGAGACUGGGCGGCUUGAGGGCGGCAGGGGUUGGUGGAAUUCCCGGUGUAGUGGUGAAAUGCGUAGAGAUCGGGAGGAACACCUGUGGCGAAGGCGGCCGACUGGGCCGACCCUGACGCUGAGGCGCGAAGGCGUGGGGAGCGAACGGGA